GCAAUUCACAUAACAUGCUUGAAAACAAGAAUAAUUCAACUCAUCUGAGCACAAAGGCAUAAAACAGACAAAAUCACAAUCAUAUUAAGUUAGUUUAUCUAAAAAUACUCCUUAAGACGUCGAAAGAAAUACUAAAUUUCUUACUGAAGCCUUGAUGUUUUCUCCCGCACUCUUCUCCUUUCUUUCUCUUAUUCUCUCACUAAUUUACUAUCUCUCUCUCUCUCUAAACCUUUGAAAAAUGGAAGUGUGGAGAGAAAGGGAAGGGGAAGAGUAAUUUAUUGAACUUCAGAACUGUUGGAUUCGCAACAAGUUGCAAAAUUCGAUGAAGAUUGAGGAGAAAAAGAUGUUUGGCAUGAAAAAUAAGGG
rnacentral:lncRNA from 1 species